AACGUAGGAGACAAACGUUAUCCGGAGUUACUGGGCGUAAAGGGCGUGUAGGUGGUUCUGUAAGUCUGGCGUGAAAUUUCUCGGCUUAACCGAGGCAGGUCGUCGGAUACUGCAGGGCUAGAGGACGGUAGAGGCGUGUGGAAUUCCGGGUGUAGUGGUGAAAUGCGUAGAGAUCCGGAAGAACACCGGUGGCGAAGGCGGCCUGCUGGGCAGUUGCUGACACUGAGGCGCGACAGCGUGGGGAGCAACAGGG
rnacentral:rRNA from 1 species